rnacentral:sRNA from 1 species
AAACUCAAUUGUGUAUAACACACACGAAUCGACACGUGCGCCGGGGUGCUCUUAUGCGUUUAGACGCAGCUUUAGAGUCGGUAGUAUGGGAUUCGUGGAGGCAUAAC